CAAGCGGUGGAUUAUGUGGUUUAAUUCGAUGAUACGCGAGGAACCUUACCAAGGCUUAAAUGGGAAUUGAUGGGUUUAGAAAUAGACCGUCCUUCGGGCAAUUUUCAAGGUGCUGCAUGGUUGUCGUCAGCUCGUGCCGUGAGGUGUUAGGUUAAGUCCUGCAACGAGCGCAACCCCUGUUACUAGUUGCUACCAUUAAGUUGAGGACUCUAGUAAGACUGCCUACGCAAGUAGAGAGGAAGGUGGGGAUGACGUCAAAUCAUCACGGCCCUUACGCCUUGGGCCACACACGUAAUACAAUGGCCGGUACAGAGGGCAGCUACACAGCGAUGUGAUGCGAAUCUCGAAAGCCGGUCUCAGUUCGGAUUGGAGUCUGCAACUCGACUCUAUGAAGCUGGAAUCGCUAGUAAUCGCGCAUCAGCCAUGGCGCGGUGAAUACGUUCCCGGGCCUUGUACACACC
rnacentral:rRNA from 1 species